CUCCCAUGAACUUUUGGAUGUACCUUAUUUCUGCAACCUGAAAUGCUUCUUCAAAUUCCAGAUAGCUCUACUAGGAUGCUCAAUAGACAUCUCAAACGUUAUGUCCAGAAAUGAACUUAUGAUCCUCCAGAAUUCUGUGCCAUCCAGUCUUUUCCAUUUCAAUAAAUCCAUUCUUCUAAGUGCCCUGGACCAAAACUUGGGAGUAAUCAAUGACUCCUCUCUUUCCUCUUCUUACCAACUCCCAUACAUCAGUAAAUUCUGCCAUUUCUACAUUCACAAGCAGACUUGCCUACAUAAUUUGUGAGGACUAGUGCAAAAUGAAAACAUGGGACUCUGUGGGGCCCGCGCGGUGGCGCACUAGGUUGGUCCUCCACCUGUGGCGCUGGCAUCCCAUAUGGGCACCCGGGUGCUCCUCUUCCAGUCCAGCUCUCUGCUGUGGCCCAAGAAGGCAGUGGAGGAUGGCCCAAGUGCUUGGACCCCUGCACUCGCAUGGGAGACCAAGGAAGGAAUGCUCCUGGCUCCUGGCUUCGGAUCAGCAUAACUCCGGCCGUGGUGGCCAUUUGGGGAGUGAACCAAUGGAAGGAAGACCUCUCUCUCUCUCUCUCUUUCUCUCUCUCCCUCUCUUACUGUAACUCUACCUAUCAAAUAAACAAAUAAAAAUCUUAAAAAAAGAAAACAUGGGACUCUGCUUUAAACUUAUUAAGAAUUUCAAGACUGUGGCAACAGAGCAUGAAACUAUGGGCUGACCCCUGUGUAACUGCCUGGGACACCCUCCCACGCAAUUUUUCCACACCAUGCUUAUGCCAGCUACUGUGCAUCUCACCUGUUCUGCUCUCAUGGGACUGAACUGUUUAAUUUAUUUCCUACCAGGUUCACCUGUAUGCUCAAUGGUCCUCCAAAUUUAUUCUCAACUGAGCAGACAGAGUGACCUAUGAAAAUAUCAGAUAGGUCAUCUUCCUCCUUAAAGUUCUCCAGUGACUCCCAUUUACCUCAUGGUAAGUCGACCCACCCUUUCAGAUUUAUACUAUCAAGUCACACCCCAAUAAUUAUGUACGCUCUAAGCCUUCUCACAACACUCUCUCCUGAUUGUGACCUAUGUGUGUACCCCAAGAAGGACAAUCUUUAUGAAACAUGGUUUUCAUCACCUCAUUUCCUGGUGUAUAAUUCUUAUUUCACUAUAUUUCAAGUAAAGCAUCCCCAGGCUCUCGAAAGCCUUCACCAUCUACUCCCACCUCUGCAGAACAUCCCUUGCUCAUUCAUAUUUUUCAAGGCAUUCUUACACGUGCUCCAUAUCCAUCCCUAGUCUUGCUAAUAUCAAACCCCUUUCAGAAAGCUGUCCCAUUGAUCGAUGCCUGUCUUCGUCAUCCAUCCUACUUUGUUCCUGAAGCCUUCUUAGACUAGCCCAGCUCUCACUGAUCUACCUUGCAUUCUAACAUCGAUUGAACUUAGAUUUUUGUAUUACCUACGUUCACACAAAAAUUUCAGUGGACUUGGUCACAGAUUGUUUCACUUAAUUAGCAUGUUUUGGGCAGGGUUCAUAUCAUCUCCAUUGGCUUAUCCAUUGCAAUGUGAAUUGCAGGAAAGUGCUCAACAUAUGUUAGUUUAUUGACUUAUUCUAAGCAUAAUCUUGGCUUAUUAAUAGUUGUUGAUUUAUUAGUCAUGUUACAUGGGUUAUCAAUAAACUAGUAAAUAUUAAACAAUCCAGAGCAGGAUUAUUAUCAUUAAUUGAGCCCUUGGUAAGCACUUUGCAAAGGAUUUUGCAGAGGUUAGUCAUGUAAGGUUCACAAUAACCCUGAGUUAGACAUCAUCAUUCUUCGCAUUUCAGUUACAAGUAACCUGAAGUUCAAAGAAACUCCUUCAAGCUACAAAGUGAGGAAGAGGCAGAAUGAGUUUCAGAUAUAAAUAUUCUGGGUUUUCAGCCUAUCCACUGGGCUGAUUUCCCUCACAGUCAUUUUUUUAAACUGUAAAAUAUUAAGGACCUAGAUUACCAUCAUAAUUUCAACACAGAGUUGCCUACAUUCUUUGCUAAACAAAAAUAAUGUAUCUCCCCUUUUGCUGUAUCAGAGAACCACAGUGGCUUUCUACUCUGUUUUUGUCAGAUAUCAGCAAGAAAAAUAGGCGAAUAUUCAUCCAUUUUCUGAGUUGUGCCCACUUUAUAAAUAGCUGUUGGCAGACCAGGGGGCCCACAUGGUGAGUGCUUGGUGCUUUCAGUCAUUCCACCACUGGGACACAAAUUUCAAGGAUCUGCCAGUCUUACAAAUUAGUUUCAGAAAGACUUGUUUUCAAAUAGUUGAGUUUAAAAACAUUCUAAAUUACAUUUACUACAGUUUGUUUUAAAGCUUUUUCUCUGGCCUAUCUUUCUGGGUUGCAGCUUAAUUUUUCACUGUCUCAUUUUAAUUUCUCUCUUUUUCCCAGAUUUUAUCCUCUCAUUCAUUAUUCUUUGUCUCCUCUCCGUUGCUGGCUUUUCUUUCUGCAGCUGGGCUUUGGUUCGAAGGGGUGGACGCAGCUGCCCAACCAUUUUCACAUUCUUUACUGAUAUGAUUUUCUUGAGGUAAAACAUCAUUUAAGGAGUAUUACUCGACAAUUAAGUGUUUCUGUCUUCUUCAGAUUUUGUGUCUGAAAGUCUGCCAAUAAGACUAUCUGCAGUUGUUUGUAUUGGUUCAGAUUCCUUCCUGUUAGGCAUUAUUUCAUUUGUUCUGCGCUUGUUUGCCUUUAUGUAAUAUUUUGUUACAGCUUUAACUUCCUGUUUCUAUCAAAUCUUCACUGCUGACUUAGGGCGACUGUAAUUUUUAUUUUUUGGGAAGGGGCACCUCACUGAAUACAUUUUUAAUUGCUUUAUAACAUUACUUAUUUGAGACACAUGCACACAGACAUACACUCACAGGGUUAAGAGGAUAAGCAGAUAGAACUCCCGUUUGCUGGUUUACUCCUUAAUUGCUUGUAACAACCCUCAGCUAGUGCUGAUUCUAAGCGCCUAGAACUCAGUAGGGGUCUCCCACAUGGCAAAAGGACUCAACCACUUGAGUUGUCACCUGUUGCCUCAUAGGACGUGUAUUAGCAGAAAGAUGGAAUUGAAUGCUGGGAUUCAAACUCGGGCGCUUUAAUAUUGGAUACGGGUGUUCUACAACUAGCGUGCCAAAUGCCCAAUCCUUAACCUCAGUUUGAUAGGCUAUGUUUUUAUAGAAUUCUGGUGCAAGUUUAUAGCCAGAAGUUGGACUUCUUAUCCUUUGGGGGCUUUUCCUUGCCCCCUGAACUCUUGGUUUGAAACAUGGACAAUUUUUGUUGGUCUGAUUAUUUAAAGGCAAAAAAAAAAUUGUGUCCAUGAGGAUGUGAUUUGCAGAGGAAAACUUUAUAAUAUCUGGUCUUAGUAUUAUUUCUAAUGAGAAUAUCUCUUUAUCUUUCAAUAUUCUAGACUUUUUCACAGUAGCAUGUUAGCUGAGUUUUCCAUGAAUUCAUUAAAUGUUUAAAUAUCCAGUUUUUUGCCAAUUUAUUGGACACCCCUAUGUGUUAUGCCUAGUUUGUUUUACCUUCAGAUAAGCAGGGAUGUAUUUGGGUACUUGAAUCAAAUGCUGUUUCUUAAUAUUUACAGAGGGGGAAAGGAUGGGAUGAGUCCAAAGCUUAUAUCAACCUUGGGUACCACAACAGUCUUCCUCAGUCGUAGAGACUUCUGUCACGCCAGCAACCUUGGCUGCUGAAUUACUGGGAGGCUUGGGUCUCAGUAGAGGGCAGAAGUGGGUGCAUGGGGGUCUUGAGGAAGUAUGAAAUUAUCGCAAUACUUUGAUAAGUAGCUAUAUGUUAAUCUGGGGUGAGAGUGUGCUCUGGCUGAUUUAUUUUUAAGUCGAAUGCGAUCAUGCGUUCCAAUUUAUAUAGUGUGUCAGCUAGAUCCACAGGGAGUAUUGGGAUGGCAGUGAUUUUCCACAGAGGGUCCUAGAGAAAUGCUGUGUCUGCCCAAGUGUAGACUUCUAUUAGUUGGGCUUCUCAAUUCUAUGACAGUCAAAGUUUGCUUUUGUCUAUUGAAGGAAAAUGUUUUAUAUUUCAGAAUUCACUGAAAUUGUGAUUGAAUUUUGGCUGUACCAGUUAUUAACUCUAAUUUUGGGCAAAUUUUUAAUAACUUUGUUUUGCACCCUCCUUCCUUGUCAGUAAAAAGGAUCCAGUGAGCUCUAACUUUCCUUCAAGUUCUAACAGUCUCUAAUGAUGUUUCAGUACGAACAAAAAGACUUUUCCGCUGACAUUUAAUAGAAGAUUGAGUAAAAAUCAACUUAUCUUGGAGUCGUACAGGAAAAGUCAGAGUGACAAACUUCUGGGCAGAUAAACAAUCCCUGAAAACUACUUAUUUAUUACUUUCACUUUACAACACUUUGUUUGGAGACUGUUCUGGUUAAAAUAAUUUAUCUCCUUUGAUUUGUACGUAAUGGCAAAUAAUGAGCACAGGAAAUAAUGACUUUUUCUCUGCACUCUUAGAAUUCAGCUAUAUUUUGCAGCAUUUCUUCAGUGGGGGUGCAGUCAACACUGAAUUCUCUCUGCCUUUCGUGGAAGACAAGAUUUCCAGUGUUUAUCUCAAUUUGAAAAAUGUUGAACUUGGUAAAAGUUGUUUAUUAAGAUGGAAUCUGUCAUUUCCAGAACCAUGGCAGAACACAUUAUUUUGUACAUGAACAGCACCUAUGUAGUAAAUCAGAACUGUGGAUAUGUGGUAUAAACAGUCCUCACUCAGGCUAACUUGGGAAGCAAGAGAAAGAAAUUUCUUUUUAAACUUUAAAAAUUUCUCAGCCAUUCAUCUGGAUCAUACCCAAGAAUUCUCUUAAUUUUUGCCAUUUCCACGAAGCUAUGAAGCACCGCAACUAAAUAGUUUCGGUCAUAUGGUUCUACCUUCACACUGCAUUGCAAACAACAGCUUUAGUCCCUUCUGAGAUUUUUUUUUUUUUUUUGACAGGCAGAGUGGACAGUGAGAGAGAGAGAGAGACAGAGAGAAAGGUCUUCCUUUUUCCAUUGGUUCACCCUUGGCCACCGCGGCUGGCGCACCGCGGCCAGCGCACCGAGCUGAUCCAAAGCCAGGAGCCAGGUGCUUCUCCUGGUCUCCCAUUUGGGUGCAGGGCCCAAGGACUUGGGCCAUCCUCCACUGCCUUCCCAGGCCACAGCAGAGAGCUGGAGUGGAAGAGGAGCAGCAGGGACAGAAUCCGGUGCCCUGACCGGGACUAGAACCCGGUGUGCCGGUGCUGCAGGAGGAGGAUUAGCCUAUUGAGCCACGGGGUCAGCCCCCUCCUGAGAUUUUAAUAGUGCUCUUAUUCAGAAGCUAAAUCAUGAGCAUUCACUCAAAACUAAAUAUACUCCCUUAAGCCAAUGACCAAUAUUUUGCCUAUUCAGGAAAUAGUAGCAGUUACCAUGCUGUAGAUCCUUUGUAACACACAUGAUUUCAUGUUUACUUCCUCAAAUGGGGAAAAUGGCCUGAGACAAUGAGUGUCUUUUCUAGGAUUGAGGUCCAAUGUAUUAUUAUUAUUUUUUUUUACUUUGGGUAUAGACUUUGUUGGUUCCAAUUUAACUGGAGUGCAUAUGUUUAUUAAAGACUUGUACAGCCAAUUAGAGAGAGAAAAUGGAAACUAGAGCCAGAAACUAAAAGAAAGGGGACCACGAAACAAGGCAAUUCAGCCUGAUGACUUGGCUGUAAAUUUAUUCCCUUGUUCUUUCUUCUCAAAUACUCAGCACUUAAGAAAUAUUUAUUCAAGGCCUAAUAUUUCCUAGACAAUGUGCUCAAUUUUUGUCAUAUAAGAAAUGAAGGGAAAUAGAUCUUGUUCUCAAAGAAUUAAUCUUUUGUGAAUACAGCAAAGGUAUAAAUUAUUAUAAUAUAAUCUGUAUUGUAAAACUAGAGAAAUAUUUAUAUAUAUUACAGUACAGCAGUGAUGAUGAAAAUGUAUAUAGAAUUUAUGAAUGCCAGGUAAUCUUCUAAACAUUUUAUAUUCAAUCUUCAUAAUGAAACAAGCAUGAGGCCAGUAUACAACCAUCAUUCCCAUUUUACAGAUUGGAAACUGAGGUUAUGUCGGCAGUAUCCCUCAGUGGAUUUUGGGUCCAUUGGGAGGACUUCUCACAGAGGGGAGCCUGAAUUCUCUGGGAGAAGAAGUUGACUCACUCCUGAGUUAGUUAACAAGGAGCCGUGUCUGACACACUGAAUAUAGCAGGUCUUUCCUGAAUCAUGCCCCAUGGAAGGGCGUUUUCAGCCAGAACGUCCAAACUAUGACUUGUACUGCCAAAAAAAAGCUGCAGUGGGUGCCAGCCUUGGCAUCACAUUGCUCUUCCUAGUUAUGUGUAUGUCAUAAUCAGUCUCUGAUUUGUAAAGUUUAUUUCUCAGAGAGUUCACCAGAGGUCGGAUUUUCCAGCUUUCUCAUCUUAAUAGGUAGCAAAGCAGGAAGCAUUUACUCAGCAUUCCCUGUAUCAGAGGCCCAAGGAAGGAGAGGCCCAGAGCUGCACACCGGUCUCCAGGCCCACAGCCCUCAGCCAGGCAGCUUUGGGUCCCCACUGCUUCCUGACUGAGGAAGUCUGACAAACAUGCCCUGCGAGUUAGCCAGGAGAAAGAUCUUCAAGUUAGUGUAAUCUUUUGGGAGAGAAAUGUGCCCAUAUUCUCACGUGAGAAAUGACACAUGUACAAAUAUGAAUGAAUGCUUGUUAAUUACAGACAAUUUGGGGAAAAGUUGAUAAAAUUUUCAAUAUUGAGGGGAAAAUAAGUACAUUAUUUUUAUAAAAGUAAAUAAAUAUGCUCAUACAUAUCAUGCAGAAGCAGAUGUAUGAAAAACUGUACAAAUGUCUGUGUGUAAAUAUGUGUGUGUAUAUAUCUGGACACAUUACAGAUUAUAAACUAGCACUUUACUAGUAAUGGAACUAUGUAAUAAAAAUUAUCUUCUGUGCUUAGCAUGCAUUGUGUUCAUUAGAACAAAAUAGCAGAAUAACUCUGACGUAGAUUAGCAUUAGAUAGAAAAGAAUACACAUGAAAUAAAUUAGAAUUUCUCACUUUCUCCUCAUGAAUUUAUUAUUUUUUUUAAUUAACUGGUCCUUCUCAUCCACUUUUCAUCUAUCCCUUCCCUAUACUGGUUAACUCUUCCUCAGCUAAUGUUUUCCCUCAGGUCUUUAAAAAGCUAUUUAUUUAUUUUCAUUUUAUUUGAAAGGCUGAGAGAUAGACUCUUCCAUCUGCCUGCAACAGCUGGGUCUGGGCCACACUGAAGCCAGGAGCCAGGAACUUGGUCUGGGUCUGCCACAUGUGUGGCAGGGACCCAAGGACUUGAGCCAUCACCUGCUCCCUCCCAGGGUGUGAGAUAGCACGAUGCUGGAUGGGAAGUGGAACUGGAAUUCAAGGCAGGUCCUAUGAUAUGGGACACAGGUGUCCCAAGUGGCAUCUUCAGUGCUGCGCCAGAUGCCCGCCCUGUCCUUCAGGGUUUUUUUGAGGAUUAUUGCAGGAUUUUUUUUUUCCUUGACCUGACUGGUCUGCGCUAUCAUCAUCGUUUUCACACAUCAGAAAGGAACUGAGGCCUCAGACUCAGUGAAGUGCUUUGGCAGGCGCAUUGGGUUCCUUUCAGUUUCUUCCAGAGCAGGUCCCGGUGUGACAGAGCUCACACUGAGGCUGGGCCACAGGCAUCGGACUUGGCUCCCAGAGUGUCCUCCGAUAUUUAAAAAGCACGAGAUUUUUCACAAGAAGUUCCAGAUAUGGGGAUUCUCUUGAAAAACAGAUCUAACAAUGUAGAGCUUGAACUCCUUCCAGUGAGCAGCUGGAGCCAGCAGCCAUUGUCUUUUAUAAAUAGACACCGGUUAGCCAUGGCUCUCACUACUCCUUGUUUUUCCUUAUGCUUGGCUCAGAUCCCCUGCCUAAAUUUAUUUGCACUUUUGUUUGCUAUGUCUUUUUGGAUAAUCCCCAUUGUCAUCAUAUAUAAGGAUGGAAAUGAAAGAAUUGGUACAUGAGUGUUCUCUUUACCAUCCUUAGUAACAGCAUCUAGAUGACAAUUGACCUUCUGAUUUAGACUAUAUUUUUGUUGGGCUUCCCUAAAAAGAUGAGAGAGACACAGACAGAGAGACAGCAAAAACACCUAACAAAGACAUUUAUCACAGGAAUACAAUUGAUGUUGAGAAAACCACUAAUUGAAAGGAUUUGUUUUGCUGGUUUACAGCUCUAUCAAUGCCUGUACAAAAUUACUUCAUGUGUAUUUAAACAGUUCAAUAUUUAUUCAGUUUGCUGUUUUAAAGUAAAUAAUUGAGACUUUUAUUCCAACUGCUCCUGGAAAUUGGAGCAAGAAAAUAACGAAAUAUUAAAGGGAAACCAGCUUCACGAAUGUCUAGAAAUCAGAAAACAGAAAAGCAGAUUAACUGGGAAUGCUACAAGGGGGCAGUGAUUCUCCAGCCUGUUAGGACACGAGGCAUCAUCCAAUGUGCAAUUAAAAAACAAGACCUGUGAGCAGGCGAUUCGGGAGAACAAAAGCCUAUUAAAGCUCUCCUAAGAGUUCGGUUUCUUGCCAGAAGAGCCAUCUGUCAAGAGAUUACCGAGAAGGAAAUUUCUGCAGGAAUUUCCCCCUGGGACCAGAUGAAGUGCCAAGAAAAGGUGUGUAUGGCAUCAGGAGUGAGGACCGACUCAGAGUCCUGAACUUCUCACAGACAGAAAGAGAAGCAUCCACCCACUGGUGCUCAGGGAAGAGGCAGAGAGGGAAAUCUCUGUAUUGCUUCUGAUCCGAAAACCAAGGUCGUAUUGGAGUUUAUGAAAAUAAUGUCUUUUAAGAUCAAUGCCUGGAAGAUGAAUCGGAACAUUUGAGGAAAGUCACCGAGGAGGUGGAAAGGUUGCGGGCAUGAAGCACCCAAGCCCUGAGAAGAGAAUCCUCUCAUUAUGGAGGCUGAUCUGAAGAAUCUAUCAGCACAAAACUAAGACAUCAUAGUGGAUUCAGAGCCAAGCAGAUCAUAUCUAAAAUGAGGACAUUCCUGGCUUACAACAGACUCUCCUGCCAGAUGGACAAUGCACAAGGCAUUUGAAAUAUUUUCUUUCACAAAACAAAUAAACAAAAAUCAACCAGGGUUUUAUCAUCCUACCUACAAUGAAUGCAAAAAAGUCUGGUUAAACAGCUCAGAUUUAUGGUGGAGCUCCUGAGGCCUCUCCCAGUUAAAUAUUCUUUGCUUGUUUUGUGGAUUCCAGGAAAUCCACACCCUGAUCAACUGGAACAUUCAAGCCACAUCAAGAUGGAUGGGCUUUUGAGAAUGACCAAGAAAAUAGUCUCUGAUCACUUGAUUCUUAUAUUCAUCAAAGGAUGUUUGCUUUCAGAAGAAUUAUUAUGUUUCCAGCUUGCUUGCCUUGGGGAAUGUCAAUUAAGUCCAAAUUAUUUGAUGACAGAGAUUUUGCCAUUUUUAGAGACCGGCAUCAGGCUUAAGGAGAGAAGGUUUUUCUCUACAUCCUUUUGAAGGGUUUACUGAAUUCUACAUCACCAAGAACAUGGUCAUCUGGUUGUCAUCGUGAUUAAACAAAGGAAAGAUUGGGAAGCAUCUCAGUAGGCAACAAGCAGGAGAAUCAGCAGCUCUGGACCCACCCAGGCCACACAGGGUGAAGAAGACACUUCCACGAACUCAUUCACUCCCACACAGGACCAGACAGACAAGCAGAGGAGGAAACGACUUGCUCUCUCUCCUCUUCUGGAGAAAACAGCCAAGUUUUCUGAGACACUUUCAAAGGAGUUGUUUGGUUGAUGACUGAUGGCGUCAUAAAUAGUGACCACAGCCAGACUCUGUGGAAGGAAACAAAUAUUCACUGGUUGCUGGGGGGAGUUCCUGCCCAUGCCUCUAAGGUCAGCAGAAUUUAUCCCUGAAGGGUUAGUAUUUCUAAUCCUGUGAUUUUCUAAUCUUAUUGCUAUAAUGUUUAGGUGAGUUGAAUAUAUCCCAUUCUUUAUCUCUGUGAAAUCUCAUGUAUUUCCUGCAAAAGUCACUCCUGGUUGUUCCUACAACUUUGCUUCUUCAGUUCUUAAAAAUACACAAAAUUUAGAUCUGUUUGUAGUAGCAUGCGACGCUGUGUCCUCUACGGUGCCUCACGACAAAGCCAAUGACACAGUGACUGCACAUCCAGACCAUGAUUUCUUGCUUUCUAUUAACCCAACUUAUUAUUGCUUCAAAAACCAUGGUUUCCAUUGACUACAGAUUCAGCACACACAUAGUCACACUAAUGCAUGUGUUUAUAUGUGUGCGAAAUAGCUGCACAAUGAGUUAUUGAGUUGUACAUGGAAAAAAAAUGCUAGGCAGCUGCAAAUUACAAGGAUAUAAUGCCAUCAAGGGGUUUAAUAGUGACAUCAUAAAUCACCAGAGCAAGGUAUAAAUGGACUGUACUUCCCCACAACUGUAAGUUGCCAUUGAGGCUAUGAUUUUCAAAGUCGUCUGCUCUCCCAAACCCCAUUCCCUUAUCCAUGGAUAAUUUGUGUUAUUUUUUCCAUUUUCCCCACCUCUCUUUACUUUUCCUGACCAACUUCAAAUCUUCCUUAUAAACCCAGACAGAAUCUGGUUUCCCCUUGUGCUAUUAGAGCAGCUAUAUUUAAAUGUAACACCUGAUUGUCCCAAGUUGAAGUCUAACAACUCUAAAAAUCUUGGCAUUCUGGGCUAGGUGUCAAACUCAUGCAAUAUGACAGACAGGUGACAACACACCCAAGAAUUAAGAGAUUUUUUUUUCUUCUUGGAGAGCAGAGUGCACCAUGCUCCUAGCCCCUUUUCCUCUGAGACUAAGAAAUCUAAUUACAUACAAUAUCCCUAUAUGACUGCAAAUACAGAAAUGAUUUUACAGUUUUGCUUCUUAUUCACAUCUGAGGUUCAGAGAAUCCAAGUAAUAUUCUAAUUUAUUUCUUAUGUCCUAAAUGAUUCUCUUUUCUCUUUAAAGCUGUCUUACAGAGUAAUGUAUUAACAUAAAAUAAUAACUGGCCCAAACUUUUGUCCAAAUUUAAAUAUGUCCUAGCAAAGCCAGCCCCAUUCUAAUCGCUUUUAUGUGUCACUUUAAGGCUAACCUCCUGGCAGCUUUGCUUUGGGUCUUAAUUAGCCACUUAACUGCAAAUUGGUUGGCACCCUAGUCCUUUCAUUAGUUAUUACCCAAAUAGCAUCACCGACUUAGGAUAAAGAAAAGAAAGAUCCCACAUGUAGCAGAUCUUUCCAUCAUUAUUGCGCUUUAAUGCAAAGGGGGGAGGGUGUUCCUGACUCUAAUUAAGGCUGCGUUUCUAAUAGGCAAUUGGCAGAGUAUUUAACUCACUCUCAGUGAGGUGUCUUAAAGGAAAGACAAUCACUAUAAUGUGUGUACAGAGCUAAAGAAUUUACAAAACAUUUUCACCUACUUUAUUGCUUUUACACUGUGUCUGUUUUAGCCACGUAUUAAUCAAUGUGUUUUACUGGUUGCCAUGAUUUAAGAUGUAAAUUUCAUUUUAGUCCUUUUUCCACUUGCCUGCCUAUCCUCUAAGCCACUUCUUUAAAUUAACUAAGCCCAUCUCCAGUAUCCAAAAGAGAGUUAACAUCUGAAUAUUUUGUCACACUUCCAGAAAAUGGGCAGACUGAUAAAUACACCCCGUGGAGAGGUACUCAUUGGCAAAACAAUCCUAAGAGGUUACUGAGAAGAGAAGUCACCACCUUCAAAGACGACUUGAAUCACUUAUGAAAUAGAAUGAAAGAAUGCAGAAAGAGCCAGCGAGCUUGGCUCUGUGAACACAGAAAUAAACAUUUAAGGGAGAACAAGAAUGUAGAUACAGAUCGGAUCCAAAAAUUUGACAAAGGAUGAUGAGAAUUAGAAGGAAAUGUAAGUAGAAAAGACUUAAUUUGUCAAGUGUUUUAGCAGAGUAUCCGCAGUUGGUACUUUCACACAAUAUGAUAUGACACGCUUUUCUUUAUGGUAGAAAAGAGUGCAUCUUCAGUAGUCAACACUGUGUGUAUUUGUGUAUGUGAGUUUAACCUGUCCUUUUACUUUGGUUCCCUUAAUUUACCCUCUAACAACUUUUCCUUUUAUACCCCUUUCUACUCUGUAAUUUUGAGUGUCUAGGAAUUAUAUUUGGUUAUGUAAACUCGGGCUUUUCUCUCCUUCUGAGAUAGUGUAGUUGAGACUUUGCACAUCCUAAAUUGUCUCUGUGCAUCAUAGCUCCUGGAACUGAGAGUCAAAUCCACAGGCCAACCAAGAGUAGAAAUUCUUCAGACUUUGAAAACUUGGAAAUGGUGAAUUAUGCUUAUGAGAUUCAUUUCUAGACUGUACCCGAGCUUAUAAAAUAUUCGUAUUUACAGUGUCUCAGAACAACAAACACAGCCUGCAGGCAGCUGCCUCAUCAGAGACUGGGCCACAGUGAUCUCAGACAUUUGUCUAUUUAUUGUGGAUUGGAUUUCUUGGCAAAUGAUUCAAUAAGAAAGACAAGCACAGCAGCCCUGCACUAGGCUUGGUGUUGCCCAAUACUAUGUUUCAUGUUGUGAUGAAAUUUGCCCCUUACGGUCAUCCCUGAACACUUAAUACUUCUACUUGGUAAGCCUGUGGUCUUUAAGUGGAAGUGUGAAAAAUAGUAAUGUGGAACCCACAGCAAAUGAAGUCAAGACUUUGAUUAAAUGCAAAAUAAGAGGUGUUUUGAAGAAAACACAGAGAUUUUUUUUUUCUUUUUUGGCCAAUAUGGGCUUUCUCCGAUUAAAUCCCCAAAGGAACAGAUGUAUGUUUAUAGGAAAAAAUUUGAAAGAAAAAUCAUUAGGAAUUAUUUUGCUUUGGCUACUUAACACAAAAUUGUUUCAGUGAAAUAUGAGUUUUUAACACUGGCAACACUAGAGUGUUUUUAUUCGCCCAUAUGAAGAACACCUGUUGUAAGUAGAUUGUGAAUUUGAAUUUUCACAGUGAGUUCUUGUCCCUACAUGAAAAUAGAAUAAUUUGAAAAGGAGCAUGAUGAUAAUGCAGUUGCAGUGAAUGAACCUGCUACUAAAGGGUCUCAUUUUGUCUACAUCACACAAACAAAUCAAGCACUUUGCCUUGGGUCUUUCACAUAGUAGGUAUUGAAUAAAAUGUUGGAGCAACCAAAAUAUGUGAAGAAAACUAAGUGUACUAAGGGAGUCUUUCUGGCUAAUGCUGCAUGGUCCCAUCUUUGCCAUCCAAUAUUUUAUCUCCUUCAAAAGGAAAAAUAUUUUAUUUUUGCUUAACUACCAGAAUAAUUCCACAGUGCAGCUGCUUGCCUACAAACCACUUUGGAUAAAGGAGUGCCACCUGAAAUUAGUGUGUGGCCAACAUCGUAAAACAAAACAAAUAAGAAUGUUGGGAGUGUCUCAACUGUUCUUUAGGACUCCCAUAUGCUAGGCAGUACUCCAUCUCUGACCCUCCAGAUUGAGUUUAUCCUGGCCACAAAAUACAUUCCAGAGUUUUCCUAAUUUCCUCACUGGCAGGCUCAUCUGGAGGAGCAGCCACAACAGUGAGUCCAGGUCAUGGUUCAGGACCACAGUGCCUGGAGUCUCUUGAGAGUUGUAAUUUUUAUAUCAGAAUGGAAGUUAUUCAGGGUGGGAUCCUCCCCCAACUCCCAGGGGAUUGAGACCUAGAUGGGUGGAAGUAGAGGAAACUGUUUGAUAGGAUUCAAAAAAAGCAUUGACAUUUUCAUGAGGGAAAUUCCAUCAUAACAGGAGGUCACAACAUUCUUGUUUUAAACAAUUUCUAUUUAUUUUAUUCUCUAAAUUCGAAACCUGCCUCCUAUGAGCAGCCCUUAAAAAGCAAAGCAAAAUAAGUGGCUGGCACUGAGAGGUGUGGCAGAAAGAGAAAAGUAAGUGUCAAAGUAUGUCAAGUUCACAGAAUAGAAAAAUGGGUAAAUCUCACCUCUAAUUGUGUUUAAUUUGUUUUUUGACACCAUAUUUUGAAUGGUAUUGAAAAUGCAAUGAAUAAUAUAAUAUUAAUUAAAUAAGCCUUCUGUGUGCUCUUCUGCAUAAUUUGUAAGACUGGGUUUAUAGAAAUGAUAUGUAUAAAUUGACUAGCAAGUAGAAUGACUAUUUCCAAAGUAAUGAAAAUUGGAAGAAUGUUAUGACUUUGUGAUUCUAUUUUUAUCACAGAUGAACUAGCAGAUUUCCUAUAAAUGACUCAUUCAUGAUUAACAGAGAAAACAGAACUUGGUUUGGUUCUGUUAAGAGUAGUGAUAUAUGGGUUUUUAUUGUAUUACGACUGUGUUUCACAAGAUCAGACAAGCAGGCUUAUCCGCUACUGUAUUUCUAGAACCUAGAAGAGUCUCUGACAGAUAUUAAGCAUUAAAUUACUUGCUGAAUAAAUACAUUUAAGUCAAUUUCCUUGACCAAAGGAACAAAUUACAAUUCUAAACCAAACUUAAAUGAAUCACAAAAACAAGAACCCCAAGGUAGAUCUGGAUCACAGAUAGUUGAAUGUCUUAGCAAAUUCCCCAGUGAUUUGGGAAUAAUCUAAUUUUAGUAACUACCACUACAUACAACUUGGUAACCUGCACAGUUGGCUCUGAAUGUUUACAUGCCCGGUAUCUGCCAGUAAAAUCAUUAAAAUGUGUACUGAACUUG